UGCCAGCAGCCGCGGUAACACGUAAGGAGCGAGCGUUGUUCGGAAUUAUUGGGCGUAAAGGGCAUGUAGGCGGUUAUUUAAGUCUGGUGUGAAAGACUGAGGCUCAACUUCAGGAACGCACUGGAAACUGGGUGACUUGAAUUCAAGAGGGGAAGUUGGAAUUCCUGGUGUAGGGGUGAAAUCUGCUGAUAUCAGGAAGAACACCUGAGGCGAAGGCGAACUUCUGGCUUUGAAUUGACGCUGAUGUGCGAAAGCGUAGGGAGCGAACAGGAUUAGAUA
rnacentral:rRNA from 1 species